rnacentral:lncRNA from 1 species
GAGAGCGCGUCACUUCCGGCGUCACAGACGGUCUUUACAAGCGACUCGUGGGCGUCAAUACUGGGCUGAGUUUGUGGCGCGCUUAGUGAUGGGAUGGCCCUGUGCAGGACGCCGACACGAAAAGAUGAAGAGUUCAAUCCGUGCUGUCUGAACUCACAGUGUAGCAGGCGAGAUAGACGGGAAGAUCGGUAGGGUGGGAGAUGCCGGAAAGGCUUCCCGUGAGACUGGAUAAGAAAUCAAAAAUCUGGUGAAAUUGCCGGCAAGAGGGAGUUAAGGACAUUCCAGGCAGAGGCAAGGUAAAGGCGCGGUGGGAGUGGGUCACUGUGAUAAAAGUCUGAAAAGGACAUUUGGGGGCUCUCUUGGGUGAGAGGCAGUGCCUCAUGUCCCCCCUUCAGUGCUCGUUGAGCAUUCAAUUAAAAUGUUAACACUUUGUAGCCAAACAAGUUCUCUUUUUAAGAGGAAAACCCUGGAUUUCCAAACGGCUCAUUUUCUGUAGCUUCUUGCAAAUGGAUACCACCACCAGCUGUGCCUAGUGAAAAAAUGCAAUUUACCAGGACCACUACUCUCAACAGUUUGCUCAAUCCAUUUAACCUUUUGAAUAUUUGUCCACUUCUUUUUAUCUCUGUUGGCACCUCCUCCCUUGUCCCAUAUUGUACCUGUAGUUCUACAACUGGUCUGGGGAUUCAUUCUGCCCCAACUCCCUGAAAUCCAUUUUCCGUGUCGUAGGAACGGAACUUUUGAAAAUGUAAAUCAUUACAUUUAAAGCAGUACUGCUGUACUGCUUUAAACUCUCCCUUCGCUUCCCAUUGUUUUAGGAUGAAAUUCGAACUCCUUAUGAAGUCCCUGCCUACUUCCCUAGCCUCACCUUGCUCAGUCUCUCCUUUGAGCUCCGUGCAUAGGAUCAUUUUUUCAAUUUCUCAAAUGCCGUGUGUACCUUGCCAUCUCCAGGCCUUUACAUUUGCUAGUCUCUUUGUAUGGUACUCCUUUUCUUCUUCCAGUUACUUUCUACUCACCCUUCAAGGCUUUAAGUAUUUUAUUCUCAAGAAAGCCUUCCAGCCCCCUACCCCCAUACUAGACCAAUCCCCUACUGUGUGCUCACGGCAGUCUAUACUUUCUUAUGACACGGUUCACAUUUGUAAUUACACAAUAAUUGUGUAAGUUUAUUGUAUCCUCAUUGCCUGGUACAUCCUUGGUGCUCACUGCGUAUUUGUUUUUUU